UUUUGGAAGCUGAGCCGGGGAAAAUGGGCAACGGUGAUUGGGACCGAAGGGGAGUCUCUCCGUCACUGUUGCUGGGACGCGUGCCUGUGCUGGUGUCUUAGAGCAAGAGCCUCCCUGAGCUUUCGGAGUGGAAGAACAGUGGAAGAGACUGCAGCCUAAAGACUUUUAAAAUUAACUUGGCAUCACUUUUAUCAGCUCAAAAGCUAAACAAACAAACAAACAAACAAACAAAAGGCAGUGUCAUUUAUUCUAAGAAAUAACUUCUUAAAAGUUAAAGCUGAAAAAUAUUCAAGUUAUUUUUGGAUAACAACUUACAGAGGCCAAAUGACAUAGGAUGAAGGCUGUUCGUAACCUGCUGAUUUAUAUAUUUUCCACCUAUCUCCUGGUUAUGUUUGGAUUUAAUGCUGCCCAAGACUUCUGGUGUUCAACUUUGGUGAAGGGAGUCAUUUAUGGAUCGUAUUCUGUAAGUGAAAUGUUUCCCAAAAACUUUACAAACUGCACUUGGACGCUGGAAAAUCCAGAUCCAACCAAAUAUAGCAUUUACCUGAAAUUUUCCAAAAAGGACCUUAGCUGCUCUAACUUUUCACUCCUGGCUUAUCAGUUUGAUCAUUUUUCCCAUGAAAAAAUAAAGGAUCUUUUAAGAAAGAAUCAUUCUAUAAUGCAA